UUGUAGUUGUAAUGCUUUGCAGGCGGGUUGAAAAGUAACAACAGAAUUAAAUGAUACAUGUCAACUAAUUUUUUAAUUAGCGAUUGCUUUAGAUUUAAGAAUUAACAAUGGCGAAAAAUUAAACAAACUAAUCAAUAUUGGGUUAAGGGUUGAAAAUGAGGUUUAAGAAAGUAUCUAAUUUUCGGUUGUCUAACAGACAAUGUCUAUGAUACAAAAGGUGAAAAUGGGUUUGUUGGAGCCAUUUUUAUCUUAUCUGAUCUUGGUUACCAGCUACAUUGAAAUAGACUGUUGAACCGAUGAUUAAUCUGUUUCUUUGUUUCUUUUCUAAAGAAUAACUCAAAAGGCAACAACCAUCAACUGUAAAUCUGGUAAAUAAUCAUUCUAGUUUUGGAUCAGUUCGGCGAUUGACCUUUUGAAGAUCGACCGAGAAAGCUAAUCAUCUACAUAAAACCUUCUCUUUACUAACAUUGUUAAUUGUCAACGUCUCUUAUUAAAGGAUACCAUCUAAUAAUGAGGAGGAACCAAUUGACCAUACGGAACAAGACCAUUUUCAAGACAGGAUAGGAAAGCCAGCAAGUGACCGCCUUUGGGAAAACGUAUCGGUGAUCUUUGGACUCCAUCUUGACCCACAAGGACAACAGUACCACACGAAUCUUGCUGGUGGCAAUGAAGAUAUACAAUAUCUUCAACAUUAACGGUCAUCGCAUAAUCCCAAAAUGAGCUGUUGCAAAAACAAUCAACAAAAUGGUUCAAUUAUUACCAGUUAAUGAAAAUUUGGACUUGGUUUAUUCAUGAUAGCCAAAUGAUGUCAAAGCUGACCAAACAUUAUGAAUUUCAAUUGAAAUAGAGGCAAUCCAGUAACCUGUUGACAUAAACUUGUGUUUCAUUGAGUGUAAACAUGGAAAGUUUAUGAAUUGAAUUGACUUUUAUUGAUCAUUUUCUAGACUUUCUCAUGGAAAUGUUCACGCAGCUAAAUUUGAUUAGUGACAAUAUAUCAAUGGAACCAGAUGAUGAUUGAGAGUUGAUCAAAUGAAAAUAAAUGGAACGUUUAAAUAUUGAAAAUGCUAAGGUGAAACUGGUCAUGAAAUAAUGAUACAAUGCUAAAUCCUUUAGGCUGUUUAUUUCAAUUCCCUUCAAUCUACUAUAUCAACAUUCAUGGCAUGACAUUUGAGUAUUUAUUAUUUCCUUUCUGUGAAAUAUCUAUUCUAUUCAGCAUUUCAUUGGAAUGAUAUUUUUUCACCUUUUCAUUUCAACUAUUUUUCCAUUGGAUUGUACCUGUCUUUUACCUUCCUUAAGACAGCUUAGCCUCAAUCAUUUGAUUCCUUUGAUCAUUCAACUUCUAUUAAAUCGAUCAAUAAUAAUCAGCAAGUGCCACCAAAAUCAGCAAACAUGAAAAUUCAAUUUCAUUGGGUAACACAGUCGAGACUUGGCAAGAUCAAGAUGUUAAAUUUAAAGUCUGAAUUGAAACUGGAACCAUACAAGAUUCAAUCUCACAAUAUUCAUCUUAUAGUCGAGCUGAGUAUUUAAAGCAAGUCCUACAAGCUGGUUAUCAAACUGAACCCGAGUUAAAUGUCUAAUGGCCAAUUAACCCAUUCAUUAUAAACGCCAUAAUCUAGCAGCUUAUAUGUACCAUAUCAAUCAUCUCUGGUCAUUAUAAUCACUCAAACAAUCAUUAUUUAUCACUCUCAUUUGAUUAUAAUUUCCGAUCAACCUUGAAUCCAGCAAAAAGGUCCUUUCAACAUCUUAAUGCAUCCAAAGUUAUUCUCAUUUUACACUGAUGACUGAAAUUAAUCAUUGAGUAUGACAACUCCUAGAGUAUUGAUUAUAAUGGAAACAUCAUCAUCAUCAUAAAAUAUUCAAUGUUCCUUCAAUGAAAUGGUGAAGUAAAUCAGUUAAAUAUAUCUUUUUAUUCAAUGAAAGGCGAGAUUCUUCAAGCUAUUUAUCAGCUGCAGUUCAUUAUUUGAAUUUUCAUCUUUAUCGCCACAACAACCAUUCAGUCCAUUGUAUUGAAGUUUAAAAUAACCUUUCAAUCAAUAAUCAAUCUUUUACUAUUUUGGUUUGCAAUCACCUGGUAAUUCAAGUUGUAACUUGAAAUGAGUUUAAAAUGAGUUGUGAUGAAAAAUGGCGUUAACCAUUUCAACAGUUGACAGGUUAAUCAACUUGAAGACAACUCAAUGAGAACUGUUAACGAAUUAAAAUUUUGAGCCUUACAUUAGUUACUAAUAUAAAAAAAUUCAUGGAAUUGCAUGAUUCAAUGAGUAAACAUUAUCAAAAUGAGUUUCUAAAUUAGAUUAACAAGAAUUUGAACAUUAAAUUUUCGGGUUCUUGCCAACAUUAACAAAUUGGUAGAGAGAAAAGUUGACAACUUGCAUGAUUAAAUUACUAGACUAAAUAGUGAGUUCAACAAUUGUCUGGCAGUUAACACACAAUAUUUAACAAAUAAGGGUGAAAAAAUUGAUUCCGGUUUGUAUGUUUAAAUUGGUCCAAAAACCAAUUUGGUUUCAUCAAAUUCAGAAUCAACAGCAAGAAAAAUGAAAUUAAUUUAUGUAUUAGCUGAAUUGAGCAUGCGAUUUAAUCAUUAUCAUUAAUAUGAGUGAAUAUUAUUUAUCAUCUCCAAGGAAUGUUCAGAUGGGAAUGAAAAACUGGAAAAAAGCUGAUAACAAAAGAUAUCAAUAAAGGAGUCUGAAUAUUGUAAUAGAGUAGUGGAGGAAGGCAAAAUGAAGGAUAAAAUGGCGAUCACAUUAAUAAAGAUAUGAAUUUUUCGAUUAUAUGAAUAUAAUUAUCAUGUUUUCAAAUGUUGGUUCAUUUUGAAAGAAAAUAAAUCUUGUAAAAUCUUGUAAAUCUGAUAAAGAUCUGAUGUAUAUUGAAGUUUGUCUUGAUUUGCUGUUGUAUGGAAGGAAAGACAGUUUUGGUUUCCAUGAGAAGGAUAAAUAAAAAUUUAAAAUGAUGAGUUGAAAUUCAUUAAGUUUCAGUUGGAAGAGAUAACCACAGGGAGUUCACAUUCUGUUGAUUUUUUACUGAACUUUAGUUUUGUUGCAACUUGUUUGCAAAGCUUUCACUGUGAAUGAGAUUUUUCCAGAAAAUGAAAGGCACAUAAGACAAGUAUAGAAAACUAGAGAACCAGAAAACCCAAUUUUCAAGAUGGCAACGGAGCAACCAGAUAGGAUUUCAACCUCCUUUGAAAGAAAUAGAGAGAAGGUCAAUGAAAAACAGAAUCAUCAUGUUGAACUUACAGGAGAAAGGCUUGACUGAAGAAGAAAAUGGCUCAAAAAAUAAGAAACAUGAAUAGAGAGGGAAGACAUUUUAUAUUGUUAUAUUUAAUAUAACUUCAUGCCAAUAAUAAUCAAGAUUACGUUGUUUAACUUGCAAUACUAUCACAAUAAAUCAGAAUUAUGGAGUAAUCUCUCCAUGAAAAUUGAUUAAAACAAUGAACAUAUUUAUUAAACAAACAAUUAUAUUUUGAUUUUAAGGUGAAGUUGGAGCGUUUGAUUUGAGCGCUGUUACGAAUGAAGCGCCUUUUUUCAUAAAACAUAUGGUUUAAUGUAACGGCUUAAAAUUUAAUCAUCUUCUUACUUUCUUUUGUUACAUUUCUUGUCGUGUUUCUGGUUAAUUGAUUAAAUAACUGUUUUAUUAAUUACACCUUUUCUGUUUAAUUUAUUGAACCACUGUAGUUCACUUGUGAAACAAUCAGCUUUAAUUAGCAUGUUAGAUGGAUAUGUAACACAAAAACUUCCGGGUUUCUAUCCUCUAAUUCAAUUCCCAUGGAAGUUUGAAUCAUUUCUUGCGGAGGCGUAAGCAUAAAAUAAAUUCAUUGGACUGUACUAUUUGCCCUGGUUUUUGGCUUUGUUUUUAUUUCUUUUCAUGUUUGCUUAAGACAUAAAGAUGAAUUAGUGAGACUCAAUUUAUUGAUGUAUACAAAAGGUAAGUAAUGAUUAUAAUAACAAAAUCCGAGAUUGUUCCAGUAUUCGAUAUUUUAGUUAAAAGCGAAAUACAAGGUUAAUCUCAUGGUUGAAGGGUAAACUGAAUCUCAGAAAAAAAUCUAACUGAACAUCUAACUAGAUUUCUUUUCAUUUGAUAGCAUUAGAUUUGUAUCGUCUGCUGGUUUCGAUUGAAUUUGGUAAAUGAUAAUAGAAAAGAGAAAGGUUGAUGUAAUUGCAAACUGGUAAAUUGAUAAAUAAAUCCCAAAGAAAUGAUGAUUCGGACGUGAUAUAAUCUGGAGCAACAUUGGUAUCAACCAUUGGAUUGAGCAAAAAAAACGUUACUGGCUUUACUUGAUUGUCAAGUCAAAUUGUAAUCAAUUAGCUGGUAAAUUUGAUUGUUGCUUACCUUUUAUCCUGAGUUAUUGAUGGACUUUCAUUUGGGAUUCAACAUAAUCUCGAGGUGACCAGCUGGACAGACGAAGAUUCUCAUCGGAUGAACUUGAUAUUCUUGAAUCAGUGAUUGGUCCUCGACGAAAGGGUAAACCUAAUG